rnacentral:other from 1 species
GAAUCACUAAGGAUAGUGAGCUUCAGGAUGAAGGCGCGAUUGUUGAGGAUAAACAAUCGGCAAGGAUAGCAUCAAGGACAUUGAACGGACUCGAUCGUUACUAGGAUGGUAGCGACAACGGAAUGACAAUGGACCCCUCUGGAUGAGGCAAGGACUAAACAUCAGGAUGAUGUCAAGGACACUGCUCAGGGAACAAGUAAUGUGCGCUAACAGGAUGGUUAGCAGAUCAGGAUGAUCGAGGACACCGCUAGGAAGGCGAUGAACGGAUUACGCUGAAGGAAUAGCACACUAUCAAGGAAUAGAUGCAGGGAGCACCUAUUUAGUAGCUGGAUUGCUGCGAGUAAGACCAUAACCCCGCAGGGCUUUGCCCGCGGGGUUUUCUUUUGCU